rnacentral:rRNA from 1 species
UACGUAGGCAGCAAGCGUUGUUCGGAAUUACUGGGCGUAAAGGGCGCGUAGGCGGCCUGCUAAGUCGGACGUGAAAUCCCUCGGCUCAACCGAGGAACUGCGUCCGAUACUGGUGGGCUUGAAUCCGGGAGAGGGAUGUGGAAUUCCAGGUGUAGCGGUGAAAUGCGUAGAUAUCUGGAGGAACACCGGUGGCGAAGGCGGCAUCCUGGACCGGUAUUGACGCUGAGGCGCGAAAGCUAGGGUAGCAAACGGG